rnacentral:rRNA from 1 species
CACAUCUAAGGAAGGCAGCAGGCGCGUAAAUUACCCAAUCCUGACUCAGGGAGGUAGUGACAAGAAAUAACGGACCGGGACCUCGUGUUCCGGGAUUGAAAUGAGAACAAUUUAAACCCCUUAUCAAGGAUCAAUUGGAGGGCAAGUCUGGUGCCAGCAGCCGCGGUAAUUCCAGCUCCAAUAGCGUAUACUAAAGUUGUUGCAGUUAAAAAGCUCGUAGUUGGAUUUCUGUGGGGACGGAGCGGCCGGCCGCAACUCGCGGUUCGAGCUAGCGCUUUCCCUACAUCCUGCCGCGAACCGUGCUACCAUUAGUUUGGUGGCGCCGGGGAUCGGCUCGAUUACUUUGAGAAAAAUAGAGUGUUCAAAGCAGGCCGCACGCCUUGAAUAAGUUAGCAUGGAAUAAUAACUAAGGACUUCGGUUCUAUUUUGUUGGUGUUCGGGACUGAAGUAAUGAUUGAUAGGGACAGUUGGGGCGGUCUGUAUUCCAAAGCGAGAGGUGAAAUUCUUAGACCUUCGGAAGACAAACAGCUGCGAAAGCGUUCCGCAAGGAUGUUCCCUUUGAUCAAGAACGAAAGUUGGGGGAUCGAAGACGAUCAGAUACCGUCGUAGUCUCAACUAUAAACUAUACCAGCUAGGGAUCGGCCAACGUUAUUCUAUACCGACUUGGUCGGCACCUUAUGAGAAAUCAAAGCAUCUGGGUUCCGGGGGGAGUAUGGUCGCAAGGCUGAAACUUAAAGGAAUUGACGGAAGGGCACCACCAGCCGUGGAGCCUGUGGCUUAAUUUGACUCAACACGGGAAAACUUACCAGGUCCAGACAUAGUAAGGAUUGACAGAUUGAUAGCUCUUUCUUGAUUCUGUGGGUGGUGGUGCAUGGCCGUUCUUAGUUGGUGGAGUGAUUUGUCUGGUUAAUUCCGUUAACGAACGAGACCCCAGCCUGCUAAAUAGCGCGUGUGAGCUUUGCUCGCAGCGAGCUUCUUAGAGGGACUAUGAUGCGCGAUAGCACAUGGAAGUUUGGGGCACUAACAGGUCUGUGAUGCCCUUAGAUGUUCUGGGCCGCACACGGGCUACACUGGCGCCUGCAACGAGCAUAUCAGCUGGCCCGAGAGGGUCUUGGCUAAUCUUUUGAACCGGCGCCGUGCUUGGGAUUGACCUUUGCAAUUGUUGGUCAUGCAACGAGGAAUGCCUUGUAAACGCGGGUCAUCAGCUCGCAUUAAAUACGUCCCUGCCCUUUGUACACACCGCCCGUCGCUCCUACCGAUGAAUGUUCCGAUGAAAUUUUCGGAGAGCACCUGUGAACUUGGCUCCGCCUUGCGAACGGGAGGCUCAAAGUCACUUAAAUCUGAACAUU